rnacentral:rRNA from 1 species
UACGUAGGGUGCGAGCGUUGUCCGGAAUUAUUGGGCGUAAAGAGCUCGUAGGCGGUUUGUCGCGUCGACUGUGAAAACCUACAGCUUAACUGUGGGCUUGCAGUCGAUACGGGCAGACUUGAGUUCGGUAGGGGAGACUGGAAUUCCUGGUGUAGCGGUGAAAUGCGCAGAUAUCAGGAGGAACACCAGUGGCGAAGGCGGGUCUCUGGGCCGAUACUGACGCUGAGGAGCGAAAGCGUGGGGAGCGAACAGG